rnacentral:rRNA from 1 species
GACGAACGCUGGCGACGUGCCUAACACAUGCAAGUCGAGCGAAGUGAUCCGGAGUGAAGUUUUCGGACUAAGCGAAGGAUCAUCUUAGCGGCGGACGGGUGAGUAACGCGUGAGAAACCUGCCUUUCACAAAGGGAUAGCCUCGGGAAACUGGGAUUAAUACCUUAUGACAAUUAUCACUCGCAUGGGAGAUAAGUCAAAGCGAAUAAGCGGUGAAAGAUGGUCUCGCAUCCUAUUAGCUAGUUGGUGAGGUAACGGCUCACCAAGGCCUCGAUAGGUAGCCGGCCUGAGAGGGUGAACGGCCACACUGGAACUGAGACACGGUCCAGACUCCUACGGGAGGCAGCAGUGGGGAAUAUUGCACAAUGGAGGAAACUCUGAUGCAGCGACGCCGCGUGAAUGAUGAAGGCCUUCGGGUUGUAAAGUUCUGUCCUUGGGGAAGAUAAUGACGGUACCCAAGGAGGAAGCCCCGGCUAACUACGUGCCAGCCGCCGCCGCAACAC